AUUGAACGCUGGCGGCAGGCCUAACACAUGCAAGUCGGACGGUAGCACAGAGGAGCUUGCUCCUUGGGUGACGAGUGGCGGACGGGUGAGUAGUGUCUGGGGAUCUGCCCGAUAGAGGGGGAUAACCACUGGAAACGGUGGCUAAUACCGCAUAACGUCGCAAGACCAAAGAGGGGGACCUUCGGGCCUCUCACCAUCGGAUGUACCCAGAUGGGAUUAGCUAGUAGGCGGGGUAAUGGCCCACCUAGGCGACGAUCCCUAGCUGGUCUGAGAGGAUGACCAGCCACACUGGAACUGAGACACGGUCCAGACUCCUACGGGAGGCAGCAGUGGGGAAUAUUGCACAAUGGGCGCAAGCCUGAUGCAGCCAUGCCGCGUGUAUGAAGAAGGCCUUCGGGUUGUAAAGUACUUUCAGCGGGGAGGAAGGCGGUGAGGUUAAUAACCUCGCCGAUUGACGUUACCCGCAGAAGAAGCACCGGCUAACUCCGUGCCAGCCGCCGCCGUAA
rnacentral:rRNA from 1 species